GGGGGCGUAGCUCAAUUGGGAGAGCGCAGGCAUCGCAAGCCUGAGGUCGGGGGUUCGAUUCCCCUCGCCUCCACCA
rnacentral:tRNA from 1 species